rnacentral:rRNA from 1 species
GUGAACGAUUAAGGGCGCGCGGUGGAUGCCUAGGCUCUCGGAGGCGAAGAAGGACGCGAUAAGCCGCGAUAGUCCACGGCGAGGUGCAAGUAACCCUUGACCCGUGGGUUUCCGAAUGGGGCAACCCGGCCGUCUAGAUGACGGUCAUGCAUUAUCAUGCAGGCGAACGCGGGGAACUGAAACAUCUCAUUACCCGCAGGAGAAGAAAACAACAGUGAUUCCCCCAGUAGUGGCGAGCGAACGGGGAAGAGCCCAAACCGCUGCCGUUUCGGCGACAGCGGGGUCAUGGGACCGCGACAUUCGACGUGAGACGAAGUGCAAUUACCUGGAAAGGUAAGCCGUGGAGGGUGACAGCCCCGUGCACGACACCUCUCACGAAGAUAGCGGAAUCCCGAGUAGGGCGGGACACGAGAAAUCCUGCCUGAAUUCGCCAGGACCUCCUGGCAAGGCUAAAUACUCCCGAGAGACCGAUAGUGAACCAGUACCGUGAGGGAAAGGUGAAAAGUACCCCGAGCAGGGGGGUGAAAUAGACCCUGAACCCGCGCGCCUACAAGCGGUCGGAGCUGCCUUGUGCAGUGACGGCGUGCCUUUUGCAUAAUGAGCCUACGAGUUAGUCGUCACCAGCGAGGUUAAGGGCUUCAGGCCCGUUAGCCGAAGUGAAAGCGAGCCUUAACAGGGCGUCGAGUUGGUGGCGCUAGACGCGAAACCUUGUGAUCUACCCCCGAGCAGGUUGAAGUCGCGGUAACACGUGAUGGAGGACCGAACCGGUAAACGUUGAAAAGUUUUCGGAUGACUUGGGGGUAGGGGUGAAAGGCCAAUCAAACUGGGAAAUAGCUCGUACUCUCCGAAAUGCAUUUCGGUGCAGCCUGUGGUGUUCUGUUCUAGAGGUAGAGCUACUGAUUGGACGCGAGGGCUUCACCGCCUAUCAAAUCCGGAUAAACUCCGAAUGCUAGAACAUCAAACCAUGGAGUGAGCCCGCGGGUGCUAAGGUCCGCGGACGAGAGGGGAAGAACCCAGACCACCCGCUAAGGUCCCCGAUGGACGGUUAAGUUGAUAAAACGAGGUGGGAUCGCGAAGACAGCUAGGAUGUUGGCUUGGAAGCAGCCAUUCAUUUAAAGAGUGCGUAACAGCUCACUAGUCGAGUGAUCCCGCGUGGAUAAUACACGGGCAUUAAACCGUCAACCGAAGCGGUGGGGUUAGCAGUAGCUAACCGGUAGGAGAGCAUUCCUGUCGGCGCCGAAGGUGUAUCGCGAGGUACGCUGGAGCGUCAGGAAAAGCAAAUGUAGGCAUAAGUAACGAUAAUGGGGGCGAGAACCCCCCACGCCGCAAGACCAAGGAUUCCCCGGCAAUGUCAAUCAGCCGGGGGUCAGCCGGCCUCUAAGGCUAACCCGAAGGGGGAUGCCGACGAGAAACGGGUUAACAUUCCCGUGCUUCUCGUCACCGUGACGCGGUGACGGGGUGAUGAAUGGACCGCGCGCAGACGGAAUAGCGCGUUGAAGGCCGUACCCUUUGAGGGUGGUAGUCAAGCACGCCACCGGAGGCGAAAGUCGAUAGUACCUCGAGGCCUCGGCCGAGGGGAUAGCGUCCAGGCAAUUAACCCCCUAGAAAACCCGCUAAACUUCAAGUGACGAGGAACCGUACCGUAAACGGACACACGUGGUCGGGUAGAACAUACCAAGGCGCUCGAGUGAUUCAUGGUCAAGGAACUAGGCAAAAUAGUCCUGUAACUUAGGGAUAAAGGACGCUCUAGUGAUAGAGCCGCAGAGAAAUGGCCCAGGCGACUGUUUACCAAAAACACAUGGCUAUGCCAAAUCGAAAGAUGACGUAUAUGGCCUGACACCUGCCCGGUGCCGGAAGGUUAAGAGGAGAGCUCAUCAGUAACGAGAAGGUUUGAAUUGAAGCCCCGGUAAACGGCGGCCGUAACUAUAACGGUCCUAAGGUAGCGAAAUUCCUUGUCGGGUAAGUUCCGACCUG